CCUGAUGUGAGGUCAGGUGUCCAUCCUUCAUGGCUCCUCUCAGUUGCUUUUCAUGAGGAAGUAGAGAAAUCCACAUGGAAAAGAACUAAAAGCAGCCUCCAGUCAACUGCCUGCAAGAAACUGAAGUUCUUAAUCCAAAAGCCCUUGAAGAACUGAAUCUGAUCAACUGAAUUGAAUCCUGUGAGCUUAGAGGCACAUCUUUCUCCGUUUGAGCCUUCAGAUAAGACCACAGCCCUGGUUAACACCUUAAAUGCAGCAUGGGAGACCACAAAGCAGACAUCCCAGCUAAGCUGUAGCCAGAUUCUGGACUCCCAGAAAUUGUGAGAUAAUAAAUGUGUAUGGUUUUAAGCCACCAAA